GACGAACGCUGGCGGCGUGCUUAACACAUGCAAGUCGAACGGAAAGGCCCUGCUUUUGUGGGGUGCUCGAGUGGCGAACGGGUGAGUAACACGUGAGUAACCUGCCCUUGACUUUGGGAUAACUUCAGGAAACUGGGGCUAAUACCGGAUAGGAGCUCCUGCUGCAUGGUGGGGGUUGGAAAGUUUCGGCGGUUGGGGAUGGACUCGCGGCUUAUCAGCUUGUUGGUGGGGUAGUGGCUUACCAAGGCUUUGACGGGUAGCCGGCCUGAGAGGGUGACCGGCCACAUUGGGAAUGAGAUACGGCCCAGACUCCUACGGGAGGCAGCAGUGGGGAAUAUUGCACAAUGGGCGGAAGCCUGAUGCAGCAACGCCGCGUGCGGGAUGACGGCCUUCGGGUUGUAAACCGCUUUCGCCUGAGACGAAGCGUGAGUGACGGUAAUGGGUAAAGAAGCACCGGCUAACUACGU
rnacentral:rRNA from 1 species